rnacentral:rRNA from 2 species
GAAGGGGGCUAGCGUUGCUCGGAAUUACUGGGCGUAAAGGGAGCGUAGGCGGAUAGUUUAGUCAGAGGUGAAAGCCCAGGGCUCAACCUUGGAAUUGCCUUUGAUACUGGCUAUCUUGAGUACGGAAGAGGUAUGUGGAACUCCGAGUGUAGAGGUGAAAUUCGUAGAUAUUCGGAAGAACACCAGUGGCGAAGGCGACAUACUGGUCCGUUACUGACGCUGAGGCUCGAAAGCGUGGGGAGCAAACAGGAUUAGAUACCCUGGUAGUCCACGCUGUAAACGAUGAGUGCUAGUUGUCGGCAGGCAUGCCUGUCGGUGACGCAGCUAACGCAUUAAGCACUCCGCCUGGGGAGUACGGUCGCAAGAUUA